rnacentral:rRNA from 1 species
AGCUCCAAUAGCGUAUAUUAAAGUUGCUGCAGUUAAAAAGCUCGUAGUUGCAUUUCCGAGGCAAGGGAUUAGUCCGACCUUUGGUGGGUAUUUAAUCCUCUUGCCUCGUCCUUGAGUGGUGCUUCUUGGUAUUAAGUUAUCGAGGAGAUAGCCGCUCAUCGUUUACUGUGAGAAAAUUAGAGUGUUCAAAGCAGGCUUAUGCCGUUGAAUAUAUUAGCAUGGAAUAAUAAGAUAGGAACUCGGUACUAUUUUGGUGGUUUGAGAACCAAGGUAAUGAUGAAUAGGGACAGUUGGGGGUAUUCGUAUUCAGUUGUCAGAGGUGAAAUUCUUAGAUUUACGGAAGACGAACUACUGCGAAAGCAUUUACCAAGGAUGUUUUCA